UACGGGGGGGGCAAGCGUUGUUCGGAAUUACUGGGCGUAAAGGGUGCGUAGGCGGCUUUCUAAGUUGGAUGUGAAAACUCUGGGCUCAACCCAGAGACUGCAUCCAAAACUGGAGAGCUUGGGUUCUGGAGGGGAAAGCGGAAUUCCUGGUGUAGCGGUGAAAUGCGUAGAUAUCCGGAGGAACACCGGUGGUGUAGACGGCUUACUGGACCACGACUGACACUGAGGCACGAAAGCGUGGGUAGCAAACAGG
rnacentral:rRNA from 1 species